ACUGAGAAACAACAAACCCAUUAGGAAGAACAGAGCUGACAGCUAUUGAGUCAACUGACUAGUGGCAGGCGCCGUGCAAGGCACUCCGUGGGUGCCAUCUCAUUUCAUCCUUACAAUAACUUCGGGAAGAGGAUUCUUACUUUGGGUGGACAGCUUGCAGAGUACAGGAGGAUACUGGGAGGAGCCCCUCCAUGCCCGGAUUUACUGUCGGGAGACUGUACAGGAUGCAUCAGAUCACUUGUCUGUGAACCAUGGAAACAUUCAGAAAGCACAUCUCCACUUGGACCAGCCCCAUUUCCAGUGCUCCGUAGCCACAUGUGGCCAGUAGCUGCCAUAUUGAGCAGUGUAUGAGUAGAAGGUACAAAUAUCUUCCAGGUAAGACCUAUUUAUUCAGGAAUUUCUUUUCCUCCAGGAAACCUUGCCCUACUGUAGCUGUUCUUAGAGUUUGCCAAAAGCCAUUGUUUUUCCUUCAUCAAAUGAAGGAGAAUUUCCCAUUCUUUCAGCUAUGACAGACUCAAUUUGUUAAGAUAAAUUGGUGAGCAAAGUUACUAACAUCUUAGGGAUUUUGCAUUGACUAAUUUAUUAACAAACGUGAAAUUUGCUCAGUAAAUGUCGAGUAAACAAGAGAGUAAAGGAUAGCAACUUUUCAAACUGAUAAUUAACGUUCGGAAGCAUGGUACUAAAGUGUUUAUAAAUUCAACCCAAUGAGUAGUUUAUUAGAAUUAUCUAUUUGCUGUUGUGAUAGAGUAAUUCCAUUUAAGGAGCAGCUGGAUAUAAAAUUUACAGGGGUUUGGAAUAGAGGGCAGUGUGGAGAUUAAAAAUGAUAUUCUUAGAGAACUCUGAAUGUAGGGUUGGAUAUUUCUAAUGGCUAUGGCAUAUAACAAGUGUCUUAGUCAGCUUGGGCUGCCAGAACAAAAUACCACAGACUGGGCGACUUAAACAACAGAAAUUUAUUUUCUCACAGUUCUGGAGGCUGGGAGUUCAAGAUGAAGGUGCUGGCCAAUUUGGUUUCUGGUAAAGCUCUCUCCCUGGCUUCAGAUGGCUGCCUUCUCCCUGUGUCCUCACGUGGCGGAAAGAGCA